rnacentral:rRNA from 1 species
CUGGGAUUCCCCCAGUAGCAGCGAGCGAAAAGGGAUCAGCCCAGCGCCGAACCGCCGGUCCGAGAGGGUCGCGCGGAAUGUGGCGUUUGGGAGCGAGCCUUCCCCCGCGGACGACGGCGACAAGUCUCCCUGACAGGAGCUCUUGCCCAGAGAGGGUGCGAGGCCCAUAGUCGCCGCUCGUCGCUCGGGUGGCGAACUCCCCAGAGUCGGGUUGCUUGGGAGUGCAGCCCUAAGCUGGUGGUAAACUCCACCUAAGGCUAAAUACGGCCGCGAGACCGAUAGCGAACAAGUACCGUGAGGGAAAGUUGCAAAGAACUUUGAAGAGAGAGUUCAAGAGUACGUGAAACUGCUCAGGGGCAAACGGGUGGGCCCUCGAAGUCCCAGCGGAGAGGGAUUCAGUCGCUGGCGGAGGGGGUUCCGAGACCGCGGACCUCUAGGGUGAGGACGCCGUAGCGGUUCCGUCCCGACGUCGGCGACGCACUUCCCUCUCCCGGUGGACGCCGCAGCCGAUCGGGCGUCGGCAGUGAGGACGCCGCGGGUAGGUGGCGUGGGCGUCGGUCUUGCACCGGCGCCCCGUGUCUGGCCCGCGAAUGUCCGGGCGCGACUCCCGAUCGAGGGAGAGGUCUCGUUCGCGAGACGAGCCGUUGCCUCUCUGAGAGCGGCGCUAGGCCAGGGAUGCCGGCGAGGCUCGCUCGUCACCUCGGGUGGUGGCGGCGGACUCACGGUGCCCGCUGAGGCCGAAGGCGGUCGCGGAGCAGGCAGGUGGCUGGCGGCGAGUAGGUCGGUAACCCACCCGACCCGUCUUGAAACACGGACCAAGGAGUCUAACAUGUGCGCGAGUCAGUGGGACUCGAUUAAGCCCACGGGCAGAACGAAAGUGAGCAAGUCGGGAUCCCUCGCCGACGGGCGGGGGCGCACCGACGGCCUGGGCUACCCACAUUUACUUGGGUGCCCGGUGCCAGAGCGUACACGUUGGGACCCGAAAGAUGGUGAACUAUGCCCGGGCAGGUCGAAGCUAGAGGAAACUCUGGUGGAGGACCGCAGCGGUCUGACGUGCAAAUCGAU